UUUGGUUGAAAUUGAAGAUGAUGUGACUGAAAAGUUGUGUGUGUAUGACAGGUUGAUGUGAUGGAAAAAUGACGGAAGUUUUGGAUCCAAACUUCAGUCCUUUUUCCAUCACAUCAACAUGUCGUACACACACAACUUUUCAGUCACAUCAUCUUCAAUUUCA
rnacentral:pre_miRNA from 1 species